UACGUAGGCAGCAAGCGUUGUUCGGAGUUACUGGGCGUAAAGGGUGCGUAGGCGGUUGUUUUAAGUUUGGUGUGAAAUCUCCCGGCUCAACUGGGAGGGUGCGCCGAAUACUGAAUGACUAGAGUGCGGGAGAGGAGAGUGGAAUUCCGGGUGUAGCGGUGGAAUGCGUAGAGAUCCGGAAGAACACCGGUGGCGAAGGCGGCUUCCUGGUCUGCGACUGACGCUGUGGCGCGAAAGCUAGGGGAGCAAACGGG
rnacentral:rRNA from 1 species